GCGGCACAGACGCAGGGUGUGACUGUCACCCAGUUCUGGUGUGUUUGAGUUCGUAUUCAUCAGAAAGAGGCGGACUGUGAUGAUUGUCUCGGGUCACAGAUUCAGACUCAUCCUGAUGAACCUGAGUGCACUUGACUUUAAUGAAGCCACGAAGCGUUUGCAGUGAGAGGCGCUUCACGGUCAGUCUGUUCACCGGAAAACAUCAUCACGAGGUCUUCCUGGGCAAGUUAGAUAAAAAGAAUAGUUCACACAAAAAUUAAAAUUACUUACUUUCGUGUGUUGUGUUUUUCAUGCACUGACAAAAAAUAAAUAAAAAAUUCUAAAUAUUUUUGUCUUCCAGUGCAAAAAUCUAAACAUGCUUAAAUCAAGAUACAUUUACUUGAGAAGUCUUGUUGAAAAAAAAAAAAAAAACAAGUUUAUUUUUCUGACCCCCAUUGGCAAUAUCAUAUUUUGCUUUUCCAGUAAAAGUAUCUUGAUUUAAGAAUCUUCAGAUAUGUGUGCAUUGCAGCACAAAAGCUGAUAUUUUGAGGAAUUGUGCUGUUUCAGUCAGUGAUUGAGCUUUAAAAUCCACACAAAACACUGAAUGUUGAUCAGAUAUGAGCGAUGACGCCUGUGUUGGUGUGUGUGUGAAUAACAGACACACACUCAUUGAUUACAGUAAUGAAGGAUGAGUGUACGGAUCCAUACUGACGUCUGACGCGGGUUUAUAAACGCUCUGCUCUCCUCUGACCCUCCACUAAUCAGCAGAUAUUUAUUCUUCAGUGAUCAAUAACACUCACAUCACGUCUGAUAUUAGUAUCGAUGAGCCUUUGACCUUUUUCAUCGGCCUGUGAUUGGCUGCUUAGCUGUUGCUAUGGGUUACACACGUGUGCAUGUGAUCAACACACAUGAGAUUGAUGUUAUUUCAGUGUCACUCUGUUUAUAUGGUCAUCAUGAGCAGGGCUAUUAUAUUCAAUAUAUAUAUAUAUAUAUAUCAGGUAGUUAUCAACUUUAUGUAUUAAAAUAAAAACUGAAAUAAAAAUUAAUAAAACAUAAAUAUAGACUUGUAC
ensembl:lncRNA